rnacentral:rRNA from 1 species
AUUGAACGCUGGCGGCAUGCUUUACACAUGCAAGUCGAACGGCAGCGCGGGCUUCGGCCUGGCGGCGAGUGGUGAACGGGUGAGUAAUGCAUCGGAACGUGCCCAGUAGUGGGGGAUAGCCCGGCGAAAGCCGGAUUAAUACCGCAUACGACCUGAGGGUGAAAGCGUGGGACCGAAAGGCCUCGCGCUAUUGGAGCGGCCGAUGUCGGAUUAGCUAGUUGGUGGGGUAAAGGCUUACCAAGGCGACGAUCCGUAGCUGGUCUGAGAGGACGACCAGCCACACUGGGACUGAGACACGGCCCAGACUCCUACGGGAGGCAGCAGUGGGGAAUUUUGGACAAUGGGGGCAACCCUGAUCCAGCCAUGCCGCGUGCGGGAAGAAGGCCUUCGGGUUGUAAACCGCUUUUGUUCGGGAAGAAAUCCUCUGGGCUAAUACCCCGGGGGGAUGACGGUACCGGAAGAAUAAGCACCGGCUAACUACGUG